CCUGGGUGCAGUGCCUCACGCCUGUAAUCCCAACACUUUGGGAGGCUGAGGUAGGAGGAUCACUUGAGCCCAGGAGUUCGAGACCAGCCUGGGCAAAAUAGAGAGACCCUUAUCUCUAUACUUUUUGAAAAAGGAAAAGAAAAGCUAUAAUACAUCUGUUAGGAGAUUGUAGCUCUGGGCAUUGUAUUUGAGCUCUUAUAUCUACCUACAGACUAGACUAGAUCCUAAAUUCUUCUAGAUUCCUUCAGUCAAAAUUUCUUCCAUGGAAUUACUAAAAAUAAAAACUGCUCUGUUCCUAAAUCCCUAUAAACUGAAACUAGAUGAAUUUUAAGGAACAAGUCUCAUAUCUGACAUAUGGGCCCCACAGGAGUUCACCAAACCAUCCAAUGCCAUAACCACAGACAUUUCACCUGCAAACCAGGCAGAGAAGCUGGCGUUUUCACACUGUAGCCAGGGCUUCCAGUUCAUCGGGACGAGAUUCUGUAUCAGAGACGCCCUCCCUCUUACCGUCUACCUGCUCGUGCCACAGGAUCAUGGUCAUUUAGUUCAUUCAACUGGUGAUCUUAAGCCUAGAUGUACACCUCCUAACUGAACAAUGCUGGACCGGCUCUUUGAGAUGAUAGCAAAGACUAUGAAACAAAUAAAACUGAAAUUAAUAAUGGACUCCAGGUAGACUCAGCCUGAGAGACAUUCCUUUCAAAUCUCUCUUGUUCAAAUGUGGCUAAAGGUUUUGCCACUGACUUCUAGCUGCUAAUCACUUCCCUCCACUGUGGGACAAGACCAGCAACCGCAGGACACCACAUCCCAGCACCAACAAGGGACAAUCAAAACCUAACAAUAGAAUAAUUGAUCAGUGAUUCUUUCAAAGAAAGACCUUGGUAAAAAGGGGACAAUGAGAAAGUUAUCAGAAUUAAAAUGGAGUCACUUCUGUUAAAAAAAAAAAAAAAAGCCUCUGACAAAUAGGCUGGGCGCAGUGGCUCACGCCUGUAAUACCAGCGCUUUGGGAGGCCGAGGUGGGUGGAUCAUGAGGUCAGGAGUUUGAGACCAGCCUGGCCAAUAUGGUGAAACACCGUAUCUACUAAAAAUACAAAAAUUAGCCGGGCAUGGUGGCACCUGUAGUCCUGGCUACUCGGGCGGCUGGGGCAGAAGAGUCCCUUGAAUCUGGGAGGCAGAGGAUGCAAUGAGCUGAGAUCAUGCCACUGCACUCCAGCCCGGGCGACAUAUACUCUGACAAAUAGCGCUGGGGGAGGCCAUAAAGGGAGGGUUCUCCUGCAUGAAUUACUGAUAGCAAGAGCUAUUGAUACGGCUCCAAUGACUGGAGGAACAUCACGGUCCUUGGUCCUCCGCCGAUUUAGAUAAAACGACAUGGACACAUGUGGAGUGGUUUUAAGGAGCAGAAAGUUUAAUAGGCAAGGAAGAAGGAAUAAAGAAUAAAACAGCUCCCCUAUACAGAGACGCAGUGGGGCUCAGAGCAAAGAGGCCCCGCAUGCCGCAGAAGGGCAUUCCACGAUAGCGGGAGGCUGGAGGAGGCGGUGUCUGGUUUGCAUAGGGGGCAGGGAAUUGGUUUGACCGGGUGUAUCAUUCACGUAGUCCAUGAGAAACCUGGCCCUCCCACCUUAGUCCUUUAAUAUGCAAAUGUGGGUUGCCAUGACGUUUUGAACACAUGGUGUUAUGUGGGGGCGGCCAUGACACCUGGCACACCUGUCGACAAGAAGAUGUGGGAAUCGCCAUGUUGGGUAGACCCAGUGUCUAUUUGCCGGCGUUUGCAUAUCAAAGCUUGCUGGUCUGGCUCUUUAAGCCGCCUUUCUGUUAGUUUCCACCUAGAACCUUUACCCUAUCCAGCUGCCUAAAAAUUAUUUCUUUUUUUUCUUUUUUUUAAAGACACAGUCUCACUCUUGUCCCCCAGGCUGGAGUGCAAUGGCGUGAUCUUGACUCACUGCAACCUCCGCCUCCCGGGUUCAAGCGAUUCUCCUGCCUCAGCUUCCGGAGUAGCUGGGAUUACAGGCACCCGCCACCACGCCCGGCUAAUUUUUGUAUUUUUAGUAGAGAUGGGGUUUCACCAUGUUGGCCAGGCUGGUCUCGAACUCCUGAUCUCAGGUGAUCUGCCUGCCUUGGCCUCCCAAAGUGCUGGGAUUACAGGCGUGCGCCACCGCACCCGGCAUAAAAAUUAUUUCUUAAUAACUCUUGUAUUACUAUCACAAAAUACUGAGAAACCACAACGCUGUAUGAAGUCCACUGCAACCAUGGACAGAAAAUACUGUGAGGACAUCUGCCCAGCAACUGCGGUCCAACCCUGGACUGGCACCCCCCGCCGCUGAUGCUUGUAGACAAGGGGAAUCGCCUCAAAACAACGGUGUGAUCCUCGUUUUCCCUUUAAAAGCCUUUUUCUCCCUUUACCUCCCUGAACACACACAGUCUACCACCGCACGUGUGUUCCG
rnacentral:lncRNA from 10 species